UCUUCGUCAUCAUAAUAUGCCUGAAGUAAUAUCCUUUUCCUUCCUCUCUCAGAGUUGGAACUUAGGCCAUACGAUGAGCGGCAUGUCACGAAAACGCAGCCACGCAGAGGCCCUGGUGCCAGCCGUCGACACCAGCAAAGAGUUCAGUCUCGCACCCGUGGCUCCCCCACUCAAGAAACCAUUGACAGGACACCCAAAGGAAUGCCUUUGGCCUCAACCACAAAACUAAGAAGCAUCUUUAUCAAUUUCCUGGAAAAAAAAGCAUAUAUCCAAGCUCCAUCUUGCUAGAAUGUACUUGAUGGAAGGGUCUUGUCCUUUGCCAAGGUGGUAAAGGCUCCCACUUGACACUGUGCCAAUUAUAGGUGUGAAUUCAGGUUUUCAAAGGGAGUGUUUUGUGAACGUUCGCCAUUUCAUUUUGCACUUCUGUUGAUAAGACCCAUUUUUCUGCAGGUUGUAUUACUAUGUUGUUGUUUUUUCAUUUUAGAGUCAAUGUUCUUUUUUAUUGUAUUUGUCUUAUAUGAUUAGUAUAUGAAUAUUA